GAUGAACGCUGGCGGCGUGCUUAACACAUGCAAGUCGAACGGUGAAGCAGGGGCUUGCUCUUGUGGAUCAGUGGCGAACGGGUGAGUAACACGUGAGCAACCUGCCCCUGACUCUGGGAUAAGCGCUGGAAACGGCGUCUAAUACUGGAUAUGUGAUGUGACCGCAUGGUCUGCAUCUGGACAGCAUUUCGGUUGGGGAUGGGCUCGCGGGCUAUCAGCUUGUUGGUGAGGUAAUGGCUCACCACGGCGUCGACGGGUAGCCGGCCUGAGAGGGUGACCGGCCACACUGGGACUGAGACACGGCCCAGACUCCUACGGGAGGCAGCAGUGGGGAAUAUUGCACAAUGGGCGGAAGCCUGAUGCAGCAACGCCGCGUGAGGGAUGACGGCCUUCGGGUUGUAAACCUCUUUUAGCAGGGAAGAAGCGAAAGUGACGGUACCUGCAGAAAAAGCACCGGCUAACUACGUGCCAGCCGCCGCGGUAA
rnacentral:rRNA from 1 species